rnacentral:rRNA from 1 species
AUUGAGAAUUAUUGGCCUUUGGUAACGUGUUGGCUAUUUCUUUAUAUAUACAUGAUAUUGAAAGAGAGAAGGGAAGGUAAUAAUCUCGCCUUCUGUGGAGUUAAAUACUUUAGCAUCCGGUGGGAGUAAAUUCUUUGAAAAUCGUUUUGAAAAAAGAAGUUGUGGUAUCCCGAUAUUCAGUAAAGAAUUUUGUAAAGCAUCGAAAGAUGGUUUCAGUAAUAGAAAAUUUAGGAGAGAUUAAUAAAGUGCCAGAAAUCUCGGUUAAACUUUUUCUUCGAGUUAAUUUAUUCGUUUGGAUGAGUAGAAAAAUAGGAAAAGAUGAAUCGAAUAGUGAGUUAGUGGUUAAAUACGGCAUAACAUUUCGAGAAUUUAAGUUCUUUUAAUUUUGAAUCUUAUGAGGCUGUGUAUGCGACGAGGAUUCGAGACCCUCUUAGCAAGGUUGUUUUAGGAGCCAACGAGGACUACGAACUAUGGUUUAAAACUCAAAAAGGCUGGCGGCAUUUUAUAUCAGUUAGGGAAACUUGGUGGUUAAUUCGAUGAUCCUCGUUAUACUUCACCUUUAUUUUUCCUCUUAUACCGCCGUUGUAAUCCAUCUAUCUUGAAGAGAAUAGAAUUAGGUGUAAACACACUAUAUUUAUAGUGAUGUAUUAAUUCAGGUAAACGUGAGGGUUGUAAAGGGCUUAACUGAGUUACAGUUGUAUUUCACUGUUGGAUAAUAUACUGAAAUAGUACAUUUCGAAAAUGAACUUGUUAGUAAAAUCAUAUAAGAGAGGUGAUUUGAAUUGGAUUAUUGAAAUGCGUACAAACCGCCCGGCACCCUUCAAUAUUCAACGGAAGGUAAGUCGUAACAAGGUAAUUGUAGUAGAAACUGCCGUUAUUAAUUAUCGU